rnacentral:sRNA from 1 species
AGACGUCAGGAUCAUCGGAGGAAAGGC